rnacentral:rRNA from 1 species
UACAGAGGGGGCAAGCGUUAUUCGGAAUUAUUGGGCGUAAAGGGCGCGUAGGCGGCCUGGCAAGUGGAAGGUGAAAUCCCUCGGCUUAACCGAGGAACUGCCCUCCAAACUGCUUGGCUUGAGACCGGGAGAGGUGAGUGGAAUUCCCAGUGUAGCGGUGAAAUGCGUAGAUAUUGGGAAGAACACCGGUGGCGAAGGCGGCUCUCUGGGCCGAUACGUGAACGCUGAGGAGCGAAAGCGUGGGGAGCGAACGAGG